UUGCCAGCAGCCGCGGUAAUACGUAGGUGGCAAGCGUUGUCCGGAUUUAUUGGGCGUAAAGCGAGCGCAGGCGGUUUCUUUAAGUUGAUGUGAAAGCCCCCGGCUCAACCGGGGAGGGUCAUUGGGAAACUGGGACACUUGAGUGCAGAAGAGGAGAGUGGAAUUCCAUGUGUAGCGGUGAAAUGCGUAGAUAUAUGGAGGAACACCAGUGGCGAAGGCGGCUCUCUGGUCUGUAACUGACGCUGAGGCUCGAAAGUGUGGGGAGCAAACAGGAUUAGAUACCCUGGUAGUCC
rnacentral:rRNA from 1 species